rnacentral:sRNA from 1 species
CAACAACUGAAAGGAGGUGGUCUGAUGUCUCAUUGUCAUAUGCCUAACGCGGCUCUGGUGAGCGCAGCCUCCGCGGAGGUUUCCGCUUAACGUCAGGCCGCUUCCGGCAAGACAAUGGAAAGGCCGUUCGGGGCGACCCGGGCGGCCU